GUGGGGAAUAUUGGGCAAUGGAUGCAAGUCUGACCCAGCCAUCCCGCGUGCCGGAAGAAGGCCCUCAGGGUUGUAAACGGCUUUUGACGGUGAAGAAUCGACAGGAUGCGUCCUGUUUUGACGGUAGCCGUUGAAUAAGCACCGGCUAACUCCGUGCCAGCAGCCGCGGUAAUACGGAGGGUGCGAGCGUUGUCCGGAUUUAUUGGGUUUAAAGGGUGCGUAGGCUGGAAGGUCAGUCAGCGGUGAAAAGCUGUCGCUUAACGAUAGUCUUGCCGCAGAUACUUCCUUUCUUGGAUGAGGAGGAGGCCACUGGAACGGAUGGUGUAGCGGUGAAAUGCAUAGAUAUCAUCCAGAACACCGAUUGCGAAGGCAGGUGGCUGUACCUUAAUCGACGCUGAUGCACGAAAGCAUGGGGAGCAAACAGGAUUAGAAACCCCGGUAGUCC
rnacentral:rRNA from 1 species